AGUUUGAUCCUGGCUCAGGAUGAACGCUAGCGGCAGGCCUAACACAUGCAAGUCGAGGGGUAGAACACUUCGGUGUUUGAGACCGGCGCACGGGUGCGUAACGCGUAUGCAAUCUACCUUAUACAGGGGAAUAGCCCAGAGAAAUUUGGAUUAAUGCCCCAUAGUGUUAUCGAAUCGCAUGGUUUGAUAACUAAAGUUCCAACGGUAUAAGAUGAGCAUGCGUCCCAUUAGUUAGUUGGUAAGGUAACGGCUUACCAAGACGAUGAUGGGUAGGGGUCCUGAGAGGGAGAUCCCCCACACUGGUACUGAGACACGGACCAGACUCCUACGGGAGGCAGCAGUGAGGAAUAUUGGUCAAUGGGCGCAAGCCUGAACCAGCCAUGCCGCGUGCAGGAAGAAGCAUCUAUGGUGUGUAAACUGCUUUUAUACAGGAAGAAACACCUCCACGUGUGGAGGCUUGACGGUACUGUA
rnacentral:rRNA from 1 species